UCCAGAGGGUGCGAGCGUUAAUCGGAAUUACUGGGCGUAAAGCGCACGUAGGUGGCGACGUAAGUCGGGUGUGAAAGCCCCGGGCUCAACCUGGGAAUUGCAUUCGAGACUGUGUCGCUGGAGUACGGAAGAGGAAGGCGGAAUUCCCGGUGUAGCGGUGAAAUGCGUAGAUAUCGGGAGGAACAUCAGUGGCGAAGGCGGCCUUCUGGUCCAGUACUGACACUCAAGUGCGAAAGCGUGGGGAGCAAACAGG
rnacentral:rRNA from 1 species